CGGGGUGUAGCACAGCUGGCUAGCGCGCUUGCUUUGGGAGCAAGAGGUCGGCGGUUCGAAUCCGCCCACCCCGA
rnacentral:tRNA from 1 species